UACAGAGGGGGCAAGUGUUGUUCGGAAUUACUGGGCGUAAAGGGCGCGUAGGCGGCCUGCUAAGUCGAACGUGAAAUCCCUGGGCUCAACCCAGGAACUGCGUCCGAUACUGGUUGGCUUGAAUCCGGGAGAGGGAUGUGGAAUUCCAGGUGUAGCGGUGAAAUGCGUAGAUAUCUGGAGGAACACCGGUGGCGAAGGCGACAUCCUGGACCGGUAUUGACGCUGAGGCGCGAAAGCCAGGGGAGCAAACGGG
rnacentral:rRNA from 1 species